rnacentral:rRNA from 1 species
GGGUAUAGACCCGAAACCCGGUGAUCUAGCCAUGGGCAGGUUGAAGGUUGGGUAACACUAACUGGAGGACCGAACCGACUAAUGUUGAAAAAUUAGCGGAUGACCUGUGGCUGGGGGUGAAAGGCCAAUCAAACCGGGAGAUAGCUGGUUCUCCCCGAAAGCUAUUUAGGUAGCGCCUCGUGAAUUCAUCUCCGGGGGUAGAGCACUGUUUCGGCUAGGGGGCCAUCCCGGCUUACCAACCCGAUGCAAACUGCGAAUACCGGAGAAUGUUAUCACGGGAGACACACGGCGGGUGCUAACGUCCGUCGUGAAGAGGGAAACAACCCAGACCGCCAGCUAAGGUCCCAAAGUCAUGGUUAAGUGGGAAACGAUGUGGGAAGGCCCAGACAGCCAGGAUGUUGGCUUAGAAGCAGCCAUCAUUUAAAGAAAGCGUAAUAGCUCACUGGUCGAGUCGGCCUGCGCGGAAGAUGUAACGGGGCUAAACCAUGCACCGAAGCUGCGGCAGCGACGCUUAUGCGU